rnacentral:rRNA from 1 species
UAGGGAAUAUUGCACAAUGGAGGAAACUCUGAUGCAGCGACGCCGCGUGAGUGAUGAAGGACUUCGGUUCGUAAAGCUCUGUUGCAGGGGAAAAAGAAAGUGAUUGUACUCUGCGAGAAAGGGUCGGCUAACUUCGUGCCAGCAGCCGCGGUAAGACGAGGGACCCUAGCGUUGUUCGGAAUCAUUGGGCGUAAAGCGGGUGUAGGUGGCUUUGUAAGUCGGGUGUGAAAGCCCAGGGCUUAACCCUGGAAGUGCAUCUGAUACUGCGAAGCUUGAGUGCUGGAGAGGUUACUAGAAUUCCUGGUGUAGUGGUGAAAUACGUAGAUAUCAGGAGGAAUACCGGUGGCGAAGGCGGGUAACUGGCCAGACACUGACACUCAGACCCGAAAGCGUGGGGAUCAAACAGG